AAUAUGUAAUAUGCCACUCUCAAGACUUGUGUGACAGCCAAACCCAUUCCACCUUGCCACUCGUUCUCUUGGGAAGAGGUUAGGAGAUCUUCACCUAUUUCCACAGAUGCUGAAGAAAUUCCUAAAAGGAGUAUUUUUGCUUAGGGAUGUAGUUUUCUCCGGCCUGCUCUAGUCUACAUAUUAUCCAUUGUUGACAGAAACUUGCAAAUCUGACCCUGCAGGCUGGAAGAUUAUUAGGGACAUUGCAAAACGCAGAAGCUUAAAAUGAGGUACUAUUUAGAGCUUGGCUCGAGAAAGUCCUCACCCUGAUUCAUGGCUUUGGCAUUGCAGAACUCUAUCUAAGCUCCUGUUCAUCC
rnacentral:lncRNA from 1 species